GUACCAAGGUCUGUGCUGGCAGGAGGGCAGGCAGGAGCAAGGGGAAAAUGGAGCAAGCCCGGGAGCUGGGGAGGAAAACAUCUCUGACUGAUAUUACUGCCAAAUAUUGGAUCUUCUGGAGUCACUGCCUUAGACCAGAGCAGUUGCAUUGGUGCCUGUAGCCUUUACCUAGCAAGGCUGGUCUGUCUUUACAGCUUCACUUAUUAUAAUCAACAGCUUGCUCCAUCAGAUAUUUAUGCAGAAAUGGAAAACUCUCCUAGGCACAACACUGGGAAGUAGAGGUCUACACUACAUUUAUUCCAGCAGUACUUAAAAAUGCCAACCAUAGCACAGGUUGCCCUGUGCCUCACUCAAGCACCCAGCAAGAGAGAGAUGGAGAGAGGCAAACAGGCAGUUUGUGGCAGAACUGAGGCUUAAAUCCAGCAGCAUCAUGAGCACACAUGAGUUAUCAUGAGAUGAAAAACAGGCACUCAGCAGCAGAUCCUGAAGUCAGCAGUUCUGGACAGACAUCUGAGCUGAUCUCAGCAAAACCACAUUGUCAUCUUCUGACUGUUUCCACCUCUUGUAAACAAAUGAACAUUAACCAUCCAGAAGCUGUAAAAACUAAAAGCUUUUUUUAAAAAAUUAAACCCUAUUUUUAGAAAUUAA